CCACCGCGAGCGGUGCAGGCCAAUCGAUGCAGCUGCGAAAGGCUGCUGAACUUAGCAGACCGCGAAGGGCGUCAGAGCAGGCAACUGCGAGGCACCGGGAGGCUUGAACUGUUUGGGGGCGGCCGCGCGGCGCAUCGCCGUUUUAAAUCCCUGGCAGGCGGCGUUCAGCAGGGGAUGGAGCUCCAGAAUCCCACGCCAAAAGCCGCGGGCUUCCUUGUUUGUACAUGGACCUUCCAGAGAACAAGAUUGGCAUCAACAUUCCCGCUGCACUAAGGAGAACUUUGCUCGACGUAUCUCACCUCUCAACGUUUGGUCCUCCUCUGUUGAGCAGCAUGGCAAGGUGGCGCUCAGGGUUCAUUUCCUUUGGACACCAAAAUCCAGAGGACCUGAUACUGCAAGGAUCCCCGAUGCCUCUUGAGAUGAAGGGGAUUGCUUCAUUAAAGUGCUGAGAAAAGGCCAGAGUAACGUGACUUGCCUGUUGAGAUUCUCUCAGAAGUUCCUCUGCUUUCCUUGGGGCUCCUCACACGUGAACUCCUGAAGAGUCAUUCGGCCUCAGCAGCCGUGCGACACCGUGGGCUCUGGGGUCAAAGACAUUUCUAGCCCACGAGGCAAUAAGGACAAUGGGGUUUAUUUUCCUCUUUGACGCAGCUUGGAAGCAAUGCACAUCCCAUCUUCUCUGGGCUGGAAGAAUUGUUUCACACUAGCAGGUUCAAGCUUCUUUGCUAGCUACGUGGACAUCGUUCUAAAAGCUUGACUCUUGUUCAGCCACAUGUUACUGGGUGGAAUUUUAUGGCCUGAAUUACUCAGGUCCGAUUCGAUUAUGCUAGUGGUCCUUCCUGGACAUAAAUGGAGGGAUAAUGUAAUAAAUUCUGGCUCAUGUUGGUUAACCUCCCCUAAAUCGCCACGCACACACAUUAAGGUGUAGGCAGUGCAACCUAGCGGUCAGAGCAGGAGUUUGGCCUAGUGGUCAGAGUAGACUCAGCAGGCAGAGCAGACAAGCCAAUGGUUGGAGCCAGAUGUCAGGACAGAACCAAACAGGAUAGCCUGAGUCGUGGUCAGGGGGCAAGCCAGUGGUCAGGACCAGAGGCAGGCAGGGACUAGGCUGGAGCAGAGCAGGCAAAUGGGGGAGGAUGGGCCAGACGGGAAGCAGGUGUGGUGCAGCUGCAGGCAUGGGACACACUGAGCAGCUGUUGCUACAGGGUUUCUAUGGUGAUCUGUUGGCCCUUUUGACCAACCAGGAAGCACAGUCACUUAGUGCAAGUUUAUUGGGCUCAGCCCAGCCUGGAGGUAGCUGAGUUCCUGGCACACAUGUUGCAAAAGUGACAAUAUCAUGUGUUCACCUGCUAUGAUGUCACCAACGCUCAUGGCUUUAACACGCGUGUCACAAUGGUUCGUCUUUGUCUUGAAGCUCCAGCUCCUGGAAUCAUGGGGUUAAAUGUUCAUUAAAAAAAUCAAAGCAAGUUUCUAGCUCUCGGGUUUGCGCAGAACAGCUUGAAAAUAUGACCCAACUGCAUCUAAAAGGCUCACAAUCUAGCAGGCAAAUAAAAAGAACCCAUUUAAAAAAAAUGCAUGAAUUUUAUGUCAGUCUCAUGAUUUUAAAGCGUGUGACUUUUGAUGUGUAUAUAUUUGGGGUUGGCACUGUUGGCCCAGCCCGACACAAAGCUCACUUGAACAUUGUAAUGCUAGGAGUAGGAAUAAUUUAAGGAGCAGUUACAUGCUCCAGGCAAUUGCAUAUGUGGGGAAAUGACUUUCCCCCUUCAUUGGUUAAGCUGCUGGGCUUUCAGCAUAAGGGAGUUCCAUGUAAACCAAAGUUCAGAGAAGGUUUGUUUAGAAAGGCGAGGGAAGUGAACGAGCAGAAAAGGCUCAGUUUCAUCAUGAUCCAAUUCCUUCCAUGACUGUGCCAUGGAAUACCCACAACUUGGGGAGGAAGCAGGAUCAAGGCAACCUGUUUUCUGCUAUGCAUUGCAGGUGCUGCAGUCACCAGUCAGAAUCUGGCUCAGAACCUUCAGGCUGCAGCUAAGUCUUGCCAAAGUCAUUUCCCACAUUGUCUGAAAGUUAAUGCGCUCACUUACGUUUUUUUCUUUUUAGCAUAUUGGCUUAAUCCGUCAAAUAUCAAAUAUCACGGGAAAUACCAAGAUUAAUGUAAUAUAACUAUUGGCCUUUAUAUGUUCAGGAUCUUUUCCUGGGGUUAUUAAUGUCUUUGCAAGGGGAAUUCAGGGACACAGGCCUUCUCUUGUCAAACGUCUAAGUGGAAUUUUCAGAGAAAAGAGAAGCAGGUAUUUCAAUGAUGUCGUACAAUGCCUGGAUCAAAAUUGAAAAUACCAUUGUCUCAUUUGCACAUGGUAUUCUGGUUAUCUUAUGACACAACGAGGAAGUAGACACAAGCCAGCAUUUUUCACAGGUUACCCAUGAGAAGAUGGAGGCGAGAGAUUAAGUGACUUGCCCCAGGGCAGAGAUCUAGGAGCCAGGAUCCGAACGCGGGAGUUCCUGGCAUGCAGCCCUAUGCUCAGCCCUCCCACCACUCUAGCAUUCUUUGUCUGUUUUAAAAUUGGUUAUAGAUGCUAAGCAGUGAAUCAGCUACUACAAUGGGAAUGGUGGGCUGUUGGUAAAUUGUUUUCAUUCUAUUUCUAGCAAUAGUAACUACCUGAUGGAAAGCAGUUAGAUACUAUACAAAGAAAAAAAUAUUGUGGUUUGAGCCAUUACCAGUUCAUGUUUUACGAGUGCUAAUUUAAAAAAAUAAUAAUUUCUUCUCCUCUUUAUAGAUUGGGUUUUAAUGUGAGGAUAUUUAGGUUUUUUUUGUUCAAUUGUAUUCAGGGCCGGCUCCAGGCACCAGUGAAGGAAACAGGUGCCUGGGGCAGCCAAUAGAAAGGGGCGGCACUCCAUCCGGUAGUGGGGUGGCACAUCAGGGUUAUCAUCAGCUGAUCAAGCGCUUUGCAUUAGUCGUCGGCGGCAAUUCGGUGGCGGGUCCUUCACUCCGUCUUUUCUUCUUUGGUGGCACUUCGGCGGGAGCUCAAUCGCUUUUUUGUUUUGUUUUUUCCUGCCGCUUCAGGAGGUAAAAAAGCUGGAGCCGGCCCUGAUUGUAUUAAUUAGAAAUUGAUUUCAAAUGACUGUUAACCAUAUAACUGGCCUGUGGCUAGUCUAAGUAUUUGUACUUAGGAACAUUAAAAGCAACUUCGUUAUCAUGAAGUGCCUCAGAAAAUUCAAAAUCUCCUCGCUGAUUUAUGUGGGCCUUUAUUAGUUAUUAUUGCAUGGCACUGGCAGCCAGGGGCCCUGGUUAAGGAUCACCCCAUUGUGUCAGGUGCUGUACAGACAUAUAGGCAGAAGACUGCCCCCCAAGAGCCCACAAGCUAGGUUAUGAGAAAGUGUAACAGGUGGGUGAGAAAAACAAAUGAGGGCAUGGGGACAGGGAGCACACGAUACCAGUAAAGUAAAUUAUAUUGCAUCGUCAUUCUGAUAGCCAUCGUUUAUACCAUGGGCAACAAUAAUCAUGCACACGCAAUAGCCAGAUUCGCUGAUCUUUCACGCAAAACUAAACUGGAGCUGGAGCUGGAGCUACGAAACAUUUUUCAUGCAAUUUUCUUUUUUUUUUUUUUUUUGGCAAAAAGGGUAAUUACAGA